UGAAUAUUUGAAAUAUAAAAGAGAUACACUUAAAAAUUCAUGUGAAUUCUUGGCUUCACCCAUCUGAAAAUUUCUAAUGAAAUAGCAAUAAAAGCUAAAAUUACAAGAACUCCCACGUACAACCAUUUCCACUUCUCAGCAUGGGCUUGAUUAUGAAUCCCUUGAAAUAUGUUUGCUAUAAUCAUAGCAAGCAGUGCAUACCCCAAAACUUGAUGGUAUAUCUCCCAGCAUCUGCGAUGAUCAUCUUCUCUCUUUGGUUGCAAGCAAAUGGCCAGCAUUUGUACUGUUGCAAACGUGAAUAUAAUGAUGCCAAGAUUUCUGUGUGUUUUUAAAGGGUGUUGCUUGGAAGAACUCCCCAUCCACAACCCAAUACCCCAUCCAAUUGCUCCAAGAAUGUAACCUGAAGUUUGACACAGUAUAUGCAGAUUGUACCAUUCAUCGCAUUUCAGCGGAACUCGCCUGAAGUAUCUUGCAACUAUCACUCCAAAGGGCAACAAAGCUCCCCAUCCCAUUAUGUUUAGAAUCCCAUGAGCCUGUCAUUUUUAUGCAUUUAGUAAACCAAGAAACUUCUGUUUAACAUGUAUGUGAAAUGUUGACAGAGAAACACACAUAUAUAGUUAGACUAAUUCUGUUGAUUUCAAUGCUCAAUCUUACAUUCCUGAAGUGAUGCCUGCGACGAACCUUCCAUGAUCCGAGGUUAGUAAAUGCUAAUCCAUUCUCAGUGUCAUGAAGGGAAUUAUCAUUCUUCUGGGGCUUGAUGUUUUCCACAUUGGGACCUAUGUGCCACUCCUGAUUUCCUCCAAGUGUUUCCACAGCAGAAACUUCAUCAUUUUUUGUAAGGGCUUGGGAAUGGAUAGGAAAGAUGAGACUAAGGAUUACAAGGCAAUGGGAACUCAUCAUCGAUACGCAUAAGGAGUCCAUAUGCGGAACAACAUAUAAAACAGUGUAAAAAAAGAUUAGAUCC
rnacentral:misc_RNA from 1 species